UGAACGCUGGCGGCAUGCCUUACACAUGCAAGUCGCACGGCAGCACGGGUGCUUGCACCUGGUGGCGAGUGGCGAACGGGUGAGUAAUACAUCGGAACAUGUCCUGUCGUGGGGGAUAGCCCGGCGAAAGCCGGAUUAAUACCGCAUACGAUCUACGGAUGAAAGCGGGGGACCUUCGGGCCUCGCGCUAUAGGGUUGGCCGAUGGCUGAUUAGCUAGUUGGUGGGGUAAAGGCCUACCAAGGCGACGAUCAGUAGCUGGUCUGAGAGGACGACCAGCCACACUGGAACUGAGACACGGCCCAGACUCCUACGGGAGGCAGCAGUGGGGAAUUUUGGACAAUGGGCGAAAGCCUGAUCCAGCAAUGCCGCGUGUGUGAAGAAGGCCUUCGGGUUGUAAAGCACUUUUGUCAGGAAAGAAAUACUUGGCCCUAAUACGGGCGGGGGAUGACGGUACCGGAAGAAUAAGCACCGGCUAACUACGUG
rnacentral:rRNA from 1 species